rnacentral:ncRNA from 1 species
UUAAAGUAAUUAAAGAGAGAGAUAAUAAUACAAAUCUAGGGGUAAAGCAUUAUUUCGGUACGGGCCACGAGAUUGGUACCAAAUCGAGGCAAACUUUGAAUACUAGAUUGCCCCAAUAAAAGGGGUAAAGGUCGGCCAGUGAGACGAUGGGGGAUAAGCUUCAUCGUCGAGAGGGGAACAACCCAGAUCAUCAACUAAGGCCCCUAAAUGACCGCUCAGUGCUGAAGGAAGUAAGAGUGCAAAGACAACCAGGAGGUUUGCCUAGAAGCAACCAACCUUGAAAGAGUGUGUAAUAGCUCACUGAUCGAGCACUCUUGCACUGAAGAUGAACGAGACUAAGUGAUCUGUCAAAGCUAUGGGAUGUAAAAAUACAUCGGUAGGGGAGUGUUCCGCCUCAGAGGGAAGCACUGACGCGAGCAAGUGUGGACGAAGCAGAAGCG